UACGUAGGGGGGCAAGCGUUGUCCGGAAUCAUUGGGCGUAAAGCGCGUGUAGGCGGCCAGAAAAGUCCGCUGUGAAAACUCGAGGCUCAACCUCGAGACGUCGAUGGAACCGUCUGGCUAGAGUCCGGAAGAGGAGUGUGGAAUUCCUGGUGUAGCGGUGAAAUGCGCAGAUAUCAGGAAGAACACCUAUGGCGAAGGCAGCACUCUGGGACGGUACUGACGCUGAGACGCGAAAGCGUGGGGAGCGAACAGG
rnacentral:rRNA from 1 species